GCUGGGCACGGUGGUGCACGCUUGUAAUCCCAGCAGCUCGGGAGGCUGAGGCAGGGGGAUCUCAAGUUCAAAGCCAGCCGCAGCAACUUAGCGAGUUGCUAAGCAACUCAGUGAGACCCUGUCUCUA
rnacentral:sRNA from 1 species